AUAGUACUCCCUUCGUCCGGAGAUACUUGUCGGAGGAAUGGAUGUAUCUAGAUACACCUAUUUUUAUACAUUUCUACGACAAGUAUUUUGGGACGGAUGGAGUACCGU
rnacentral:pre_miRNA from 1 species